AGGGUUUGAUCAUGGCUCAGGACGAACGCUGGCGGUGCGCCUUAUGCAUGCAAGUCGAGCGAAGCUUUUCAGUAGUUUACUACAGAAAAUGACUGAGCGGCGAACGGGUGAGUAACGCGUGAGCAAUCUACCUUAGUUACAGGGAUAGCCCGAGGAAACUCGGAUUAAUACCUGAUAUUCUUUACAUUUCGCAUGAAAUCAAAAGGAAAGGUCAGCCGAACUAAGAUGAGCUCGCGUUCUAUCAGCUAGUUGGUGAGGUAAAAGCUCACCAAGGCAACGACGGAUAGCUGGUCUGAGAGGACGAUCAGCCACACUGGGACUGAGACACGGCCCAGACUCCUACGGGAGGCUGCAGCAGGGAAUAUUGCGCAAUGAGCGAAAGCUUGACGCAGCGACACCGCGUGUGGGAUGACGGAUCUAGGUUUGUAAACCACUUUCAGGAGGGAAGAAAAUGACGGUACCUCCACAAGAAGCCCCGGCCAACUACGUGCCAGCAGCCGCGGUAAUACGUAGGGGGCGAGCGUUGUCCGGAUUUAUUGGGCGUAAAGAGCUCGUAGGCGGUUCAACAAGUCGGUCGUAAAAGUUCAGGGCUCAACCCUGAAAUGUCGAUCGAUACUGUUGUGACUAGGAUACGGUAGAGGUGAGUGGAAUUCCGAGUGUAGCGGUGAAAUGCGUAGAUAUUCGGAGGAACA
rnacentral:rRNA from 1 species